UGCCUAUAUCAGGGCUGUGCUGUUGCUGCACAUAUGCCUCCAGAGGACUGGGGCGGCAUAGCACACUGGUAGAAGAUGUAGCCAUGCUGAUCAUGGCUACAUCUGAGGGAAACAUGCACCCUUGACGCAGCUAUGCACCGUUGAGGAGGACAAAUGUUCAACGCUGCCCCCUGAUUGACUCCCAGCGCCGAGAAAGCUAUUCUUCUGAAGAGGGGGUGUUUAGGAAGCGCUGCCAUUCCUCCUGCCAUUUUGCUACGCCCCCUUCACCCGUUCUCGGCUGCCCUGGUUACAAUCUGUUACACAAGCUCACAGCAAUGGCAGGUUCUUCUGUCGCAAAAAUACUCUUACUUAAGACAGUGAUACUUAAGAGUUAUUGAUACAGGUACAGUGAUUGCUGAGGAUUCCUGGGAAACUGGCGUAUUACUGAACACUCUCUAAACUAGAACUGAACGAAGUUGCAGCCAAUAAACAGUUGUGAAGUUCCGUUUA